ACUAUAAUAGUUUAAAUAAAACAAAGGUUUUGUAAACCUAAAUUGGCUAUCCUUAUAGUU
rnacentral:tRNA from 1 species